UAAACCGGAAAAAACUUAUGCAUACACCUGGUAUGCUGCAAAAAUAUUAUAAACAUAUUUUCCGUCGCCAUGAGCACCGUCAUACCCACAAAAGUGGAUACCACAAUGAGAAAGUAAAUAAGAAAGAAAUGUUUCCGUUGAUCGAGGAAGCAUGCCACUUGUAUCGGAAAUUAUCGUGAUUCAUCCUUUGGCAUCACGAUAUCGAGUACAAUUGACACGAAUAUCGUUAAAAGAAAAGCGAAUGUUCCCGGAUGAACAAUCAUUGGAAACAUUAAAAUUUAACAGACGAUCGUAUAAUAUUGCGGAAAACUCAUAAAUAAAAGAUGCAAUAAGAGAUAAUUAAGAAGAAUUGUAUCCUGAUAAAGCAAAGUCUGAAACUAUACACAAAUUAGUCAUCCAGAAUUAAUAGGACUGACUAAGGUAGCAAUAGACAAUGUUAUUGAUGCACUUCUUUUGGAUUAUCCUCAGAUGUUAUGAUAAAAGUACUUUGACCACAAUUUGCAGUUGCAGAAGAACAAACUCCAACUUUAUUCUUAAAUCAUGGAGAAUUGCCAAAACUUGCAGUAGUGGUUCCACCACAUGAGAGUUCUUCAGAAGGCUGUUGAGCGACACAUGUGUUUCGAAAGGGAAAACGUCAAGAAUAAAUAAGUUGGAAACAUAUUUGGAAGAAAUAUUGUUGUUUAGAACAUAUUUAACUUAUUACUAACUAUGAAAAUAUUAUGAUAUGUAGUAUUACAAAUUGUGCUGAAUUAUAUUUUAUGAAGGAGCGUUGGUAAAAAAAUUAAUUGUAACGACAGUUCAUUUGCAACGUAGCUGAAAUUAUACAAAUAAUAUAUAUUUGAUAUAAAGAGGAUUCUCUCAAGUCAAGUACACACAUUGUACACAGUACAGUAGCUUACACUGUCUCUUGAAAGAAAAAACGUCCAAAAGAAAACAAGUUGAAAACACAUUUGGAAGAAAUAUAAUCCUUCUUUCAAACAAGUUAAACUUAUUUGUAACGAUGAAAAUAUUUUGAUGAGUGGUAUUACAAAUUGAACUGAAGUACAUUUUAUGAAGAAACGUCGAGAAAAACAAAUUAAUUGGGUUCUCACAAGUCAAGCCAGGCAUACAACCUUCUAACAUCAUACAAGUUACCUCUGACGCAGCAGAUUUGUUGUAAUUUGUGAA